rnacentral:rRNA from 1 species
GUUGCUUCGGGGUAUACUCCCACCCUUUGUUUAUUAUACCUUUGUUGCUUUGGCGGGCCCGUCCUCGGACCACCGGCUUCGCGCUGGUCAGCGCCCGCCAGAGGACCUAAAACUCUGUUUGUUCAUAUUGUCUGAGUACUAUAUAAUAGUUAAAACUUUCAACAACGGAUCUCUUGGUUCUGGCAUCGAUGAAGAACGCAGCGAGAGAUGCGAUACACGUAAUGUGAAUUGCAGAACUUCAGUGAAUCAUCGAAUCUUUGAUCGCACAUUGCGCCCCCUGGUAUUCCGGGGGGCAUGCCUGUUCGAGCGUCAUUACAACCCUCAAGCUCUGCUUGGUAUUGGGCUCUGCCGGUCCCGGCAGGCCUUAUCAUCAGUGGUCGGUGCCAUUCGGUCUUCAAGCGUACUAAUUCUUCUCGCUUUGGAGGCCCGGGUGCGUGCUUGCCAGCCAACCCCCAAUUUUUUCAGGUUUGACCUCGGAUCAGGUAGGGAUACCGCUGAACUUAAGCAUAUCAAUAAGCGGACGGGGAAAGGCAUGUGACGAACGG